GAUACAGAAGCUACAUGAUUUUGA
rnacentral:siRNA from 1 species